AGAACACGAAGUGGUUGAUGCCAUGCUUCCAAGAAAAGCUUCUAAGCUUCAGGUAACCAGGAACCGUACCCCAAACCGACACAGGUGGUUGGGUAGAGAAUACCAAGGCGCUUGAGAGAACUCGGGUGAAGGAACUAGGCAAAAUGGCACCGUAACUUCGGGAGAAGGUGCGCCGGUGAGGGUGAAGCAUUUACUGCGUAAGCCCACGCCGGUCGAAGAUACCAGGCCGCUGCGACUGUUUAUUAAAAACACAGCACUCUGCAAACACGAAAGUGGACGUAUAGGGUGUGACGCCUGCCCGGUGCCGGAAGGUUAAUUGAUGGGGUUAGCUAACGCGAAGCUCUUGAUCGAAGCCCCGGUAAACGGCGGCCGUAACAAUAACGGUCCUAAGGUAGCGAAAUUCCUUGUCGGGUAAGUUCCGACCUGCACGAAUGGCGUAACGAUGGCGGCGCUGUCUCCACCCGAGACUCAGUGAAAUUGAAAUCGCUGUGAAGAUGCAGUGUAUCCGCGGCUAGACGGAAAGACCCCGUGAACCUUUACUAUAGCUUUGCACUGGACUUUGAAUUUGCUUGUGUAGGAUAGGUGGGAGGCUUUGAAGCGUGGACGCCAGUUCGCGUGGAGCCAUCCUUGAAAUACCACCCUGGCAACUUUGAGGUUCUAACUCAGGUCCGUUAUCCGGAUCGAGGACAGUGUAUGGUGGGUAGUUUGACUGGGGCGGUCUCCUCCUAAAGAGUAACGGAGGAGUACGAAGGUGCGCUCAGACCGGUCGGAAAUCGGUCGUAGAGUAUAAAGGCAAAAGCGCGCUUGACUGCGAGACAGACACGUCGAGCAGGUACGAAAGGAGGUCUUAGUGAUCCGGUGGUUCUGUAUGGAAGGGCCAUCGCUCAACGGAUAAAAGGUACUCCGGGGAUAACAGGCUGAUACCGCCCAAGAGUUCAUAUCGACGGCGGUGUUUGGCACCUCGAUGUCGGCUCAUCACAUCCUGGGGCUGAAGCCGGUCCCAAGGGUAUGGCUGUUCGCCAUUUAAAGUGGUACGCGAGCUGGGUUUAGAACGUCGUGAGACAGUUCGGUCCCUAUCUGCCGUGGACGUUUGAGAUUUGAGAGGGGCUGCUCCUAGUACGAGAGGACCGGAGUGGACGAACCUCUGGUGUUCCGGUUGUCACGCCAGUGGCAUUGCCGGGUAGCUAUGUUCGGAAUAGAUAACCGCUGAAAGCAUCUAAGCGGGAAACUAGCCUCAAGAUGAGAUCUCACUGGGACCUUGAGUCCCCUGAAGGGCCGUCGAAGACUACGACGUUGAUAGGUUGGGUGUGUAAGCGCUGUGAGGCGUUGAGCUAACCAAUACUAAUUGCCCGUGAGGCUUGAUC
rnacentral:rRNA from 1 species